rnacentral:tRNA from 1 species
GGCUUCGUAGUUCAAUGGAUAGAACGUCAGAUUCCGGUUCUGAAGGUUGGGGGUUCGAAUCCCUCCGGAGUCG